GUUAGGCCUCCGCACUCCCCAUGAUCCAACCCCUUUCGGGCACCCAGAA
rnacentral:sRNA from 1 species